UGGUUCACCACGCCUCUUUUUUAGCUUCAGAUAUUGGCCUCUGAGGUUCCGACACCGGGAAAGAGCAUAUGGCACGGAAGCCGCCACCCGAGCCUGCCUCGGUUCCCCGCAGGCUCCGGCCGCUGAUCGUCGUGGAGAAUCCGAAGCCGAAGCCAGGAUCCCGUUGCGCCGAGGCGUCCGGAGAAACGGCGGCGGAGUGCGCAGCCAUCUUCUGCUGCUGCCCCUGCGGCCUGGCGAAACUCCUAGUUUUCGCGGUAAUCAAGCUGCCGGAGGGGCUCGUACGGAAGGCCCUGCGACGGAGGAGGAAGCCGAAGAAGAAAGCCACCGGGAUCUGGCGGCCCAAAUACGGCGCCUUGGACGAUGACGACGACUUCAGCGUUCACGGAGGGUUCCUUUUGGCGGCGGCAGGGGCCGGGGAGGCGUGGCCCGCGAAGACGCCGUCUCAGGAGCUGCUGGAGUUGGAGAAGGAGAUGCGGGCGAAGUUUUACGGCGCCGGAUUUUGGCGAAGCGGUUCGCAGAAGGAGUAGAGGCAGCCCUCUUGGCAUUCCGGUGAGAAGGGAAAUGGCUUUUCUCGUGGUACAAGACAGGAGAGGUGGUCCAAGGUGGGAUCUUUUCCACUGCUCUGCUGCUGCUUCGGAUUGCUCGGUUGCAUUCCGACAAGCGAUUUCGUCGAGGAUUAAUGUGUUGCCGUGGUGGACGAGUUGACUCAUCAACACAUAAGUAAUCUGCGUCUCAAAUCGUCGAUGGUUGGAUGCCAAUUAUACUUUACAAUCCUUGGUUUUGGUUUAGAUGUUUUCUUCUGGAGGAAUUAUGCAUGGGUGAGAGGUGGUCUAUUCAGAUUCUUGUAGUAUGAAAAUAAUUUCGAAUGCACAUUUCCAUAAAGUUCGAUAAAUGUUUGGUAUGGAAUGUUCUUUGAAGUUCUCGAAUGAAUAUAGAAUCGAUUUGGCAAAAAAUAUGAUACACUGUAAUUAAUUUUAUAUUAUUAUCAUUUUGGAAUCGACGGGAGAUUCUAUCCGAUUCAUCUUAUCAUAACCGAUUCAUCUUUAUCAUUCUACGUCAUCUAAAGACAUACUAGCGUGCAUUGUGUUGGUGUGGAAAGUAAGGUUUAAACUAUAGAUCCCAUCCUUUCUCGAUUAUUUGCAGUAGAAACAGGAAUGGGGAGGAAAGACGGGAAGAGACAACUGACACGCUGUCUCCAAUCCCUCUCUCUCUCUCUCUCUCUCUCUCUGUGGCUCCCUUGUCGACGCCCAACGCAUCGCAUCGUCGAUUCCCAUUGCCUUUGGCGGUGACUGGGUCGCAUCGUGGCGCCUCGAUCUUCUCAGCACCAAUGUGGAGGCGAUUCGUGUGAGGCGUUGCUUUGAUCGCUUGUUUGUUUCGGAUUGUGCUAUUCCAUCUUUGAUCGCACUUGCGGUCGAUCGAUCUAUUGUUUGCCCUAAUCUUGUACUUGUUUCUUUUGGGUUCUUGAUGAUAUUGGAGCUUCUGUUCUUCGGCGCCUGCCGUAUAAGGGAAUUCUUCGUAUAAUUUUCGUAAUUUGUGGCGUAAUUGUUGAUUUGAGUUUGUCGUCUGCAUUGAUUUAAGUUCAGGGGUGAUACGAUCCUAGUUCGAUUUGGUGAGGCACUGGUUUUAUAUGUAUUUUUUAGGAAGAAUGCGUUCGGAGAAUGCUGCGACAGUUUGUCCUAUCUCUAGCUUCUCUUGAUCGAUCUUUUGCCCUGUCUGUUCUAGUUGAUACGAGGUUCUACAUAGGGUUUCGGGACUGCAAAGAGGGACAGCCAUUUGCCAUCUGCUCGGACUCCUGUGGAAGGGGGAGUUCAGGAUGCUUGUGGUGAUGCAUGCAGCAUCCGUCUUGAACCCCUCUGCGAAAUUGAUCCUUCAACGGUAUGGUGUCUUUUGUAUUUUUGUUUUUCUUUCUAUUCGUGUAAGUGAUGGUUAACCUUUUUCCUGCCUCUACUCUGUAGGUGUCCUCUUGUCAUUUCCUUGAUUGUUGUUCUUCAGAUUACUUGGUGCAAGUAUGAGUUCCAAUCUACAAUGUAUUUUGAGCAUGCGGACUAUAGUCUUGUAAAAGUUUUUAAUCGAAAGAUACGGCCAUCAUAUAUUUGUUGUUGUGAUUGGACUACUUGUUUUGAGGUGCCAACUUUGAUAGUAGUUGAACAAGCUUGGCUUUUCUCUUUGGACUCUCUUUGCUUGAUGAUUUAUGUUAGCUAUUAUCCAUGCCAUAUGCUAGGUUUUUUUGUACAAUAUGCUUGAAAUAUCUAUGAUCUCAGUGUUCUUGAGAAAGCUAUGAUUCCUAUUCCUGUUGGAUGUAUUUGUUGAAUGUAUUUGCUGUUUCAAACUCCUUCAUUUUUAAGUUCAAGUUCUCUUCAAUUAUUUCACUACUAGGUGCCAGAGAAAAUCUCGGUGUCCCAUGUGUUGGCGGUCCAUCAGUUUGAAGGAUCCCACCUGGUUCAUAUGAAUUGGGUAAUCUUGCAAUGUGUGCUCUAACUGUUGCUAUGGCUAAGAGGUUUUGAUUUCUUUCUGAUGAUUUGUCAGCCAGGAACUACUAGAGGCCGUAGAAAGGGAAAGCAGCAUUAGACUUGACCGUGCAACGACCACCACAAUUUUUCAUCAUCCAGUGCAUGGAGAUUUCAAUUUGCAACAUCAUGUACAGAUUCUUUCUUUCUCGCCUAUUCAUGGCAAUUGCCAGUUGCUGGAAGUGAUGAAGAAUUUGAAGAGCAUAUUAUCCAGCACUUUGUUGCUGCUGCUGCCAUGGGACGAGCACGCCACAUUGCUUGAAGAGGUCGGCUUAGAUCAGGAUCUCAUGAUCACCUGCAGUAUCUGGUUUUCUCCACAAAUUCAAUUGCAUCGUCUGUGGGCUUAACAUCUUCCUCAGCACCAAAAGGGGAAAAUGAAAUAGCUCCUGCAACAGUUGUUGCUAACCCGUCAUCUCCAAUAAGUAAUCCAGGAGGGGAUUCUGCCGAAGUAACAAAUAUUAUGCUGGCUCAUGCCAGUAACAAAUAUUCUUACUUCAAGUCCAAGCAAACCUGCUGGCCAGUCAAAUCUUCGGCUAACCAAGAUGGACCAGAACCAUCAGACUUCCAAUUGUUCUCAGAAUCUAUGAAAUCUCGUCUGAAUGCAGUUUCACCGAGGUAAUUCAGAGCUUAUGUGCUGUUUUCAGUAUCGUGGCAAUGCGGAUGCGGGUUGUCUCCUUCACAUUUUGUUGCAAUAGGUACAAAGAAUCUGUUGCUAAGAGCACUAAAGGAAGGAGGGAGAGGCUAUUUUCACGUAGGAACUCUGUGGCGGGUAUUGGUUGUGAAGUUCGGAGACAAGUUGGUGUUGGAAUUGGUAACAUGUCAAUGUCAUAGAAAUCAGAUGAAUGAUACCAGAAUACACAACUGUUAUGAUUUCACUACACCAUUGUGCCUUUGAUUUUGUUCAAGGGUCUCUUUCAAUGCAGAAAGGUGUUAGGCGCUAUAAGGCGUCAAUCAGCCAAAGCACAAAGGCUCUCUUUUAAUAUUGUUUCAAAUAUGGGUGACGUGGUGGUAUGUGUCAUGGAGUUAGAGUGAAAUUUGAUAGAUCCAGCUCAUCGACCCCAGGAUGCAUGCCACCAUGAAUGACACCUGUUCUAAUCUCGAUGAGUAAUUAUACUUUCUAAGUCACACCUUAGCACGACAUCAUGAAGAUGAAGA